CCCCAGCGCCACGAGUGGCAACCACAUUUAUUGGGUCUAAAGCGUCCGUAGCCGGUCCAAUAAGUCUCUUGUGAAAUCAUUAAGCUUAACUUAAUAGGUAGUGCUUGAGAUACUGUUGGACUAGGAACUGGGAGGAGUCAGAAGUAUUUCUAGGGGAGCGGUAAAAUGCUAUAAUCCUAGAAAGACUACCUGUGGCGAAGGCGUCUGACUAGAACAGAUUCGACGGUGAGGGACGAAAGCUAGGGGAGCAAUCCGGAUUAGAUACGAGGAAAUUCCUUUGGAAUUUUCUGGAAUUGGUUUGUAAAUUUUGCUUUAAAAAACUACAUUACAAGCUUAACCAGAAAUAGUGGAAUUUACUCGCUAAUUACCCGAGUAGUCCUAGCUGUAAACUCUGCGAGCUAGGUGUUGCAUAUUCUUCGUGAAUGUGCAGUGUCGUAGUGAAGAUGUUAAGCUCGCCACCUGGGAAGUAUGGUCGCAAGACUGAAUUACAAAGAACAAUUGUUCUUUGAACAGU
rnacentral:rRNA from 1 species